rnacentral:rRNA from 1 species
UCGGGUGACAGGGAGACAGGUGGUGCAUGGUUGUCGUCAGCUCGUGUCGUGAGAUGUUGGGUUAAGUCCCGCAACGAGCGCAACCCCUACGUUUAGUUGCUAACGCGUGAAGGCGAGCACUCUAGACGAACUGCCGUUGACAAAACGGAGGAAGUGGGAUGACGUCAAAUCAUCAUGCCCUUAUGUUCUGGGCUACACACGUGCUACAAUGGCCGGUACAGACGGACGCAAAGCCGCGAGGUGGAGCAAAUCCUAAAAAGCCGGUCUCAGUUCGGAUUGCAGGCUGCAAUUCGCCUGCAUGAAGUCGGAAUCGCUAGUAAUCGCAGGUCAGCAUACUCGCGGUCGAAUACGUUCCCGGGCCUU